AUAGUCCAAAAGGUCAACAAAAGCAUAUUGGAGAUCUAGUAAAGGUACAUAGGAAAGGUCUAUCGGAACAACUACUUGUGCAAUAGGAUGGGAAGAAUGCAUAGGGCAGAGACAAUGCCUUUGGAAGAAGCCAUCAUUUUCCUGCCUCUAAACCUGGAUGAUGCCCUGCCUAGACAAGAUUGAGGGAAGAAGGAUCAAGUGGAAUAAGCCAGUUCAUCUAUUGACAUCUCACUUAUGGUAUCCAUUCCUGACUCCAGAAGAAAGCUCAAUGCCAUUCUGGGAUCUAGCUUCUUACAUGGUGACUGUUACUGUAGCAUCUAAGCACCUAAAAAAAUAAGUGUGUGCAUACUGAUAUGUUGUUUUCUCUUCCCUC